rnacentral:rRNA from 14 species
GUGGGGAUGACGUCAAGUCCUCAUGGCCCUUAUGGGUAGGGCUUCACACGUCAUACAAUGGUACAUACAGAGGGCCGCCAACCCGCGAGGGGGAGCUAAUCCCAGAAAGUGUAUCGUAGUCCGGAUCGCAGUCUGCAACUCGACUGCGUGAAGUCGGAAUCGCUAGUAAUCGUGAAUCAGAAUGUCACGGUGAAUACGUUCCCGGGCCUUGUACACACCGCCC